GGGCCCGCCAUGGGCCUAACUCGGGAACAGGGGUCCACCAAGGCAGAGCAGGUGGUGUGGGAGGCCACCAGAGUGGAGCAGGUGGAGCUGGAGCCCACCAGGGCGGAGCAGAGGACCACCACAGCCGAGAAGACGGGACAGAAGCCCACCAGGGCGGAGCAGAGGACCACCACAGUUGAGAAGACAGGACAGAAGCCCACCAGGGAAGAGCAGAGGACCACCAUAGCUGAGCAGACGGGACAGAAGCCCACCAAGGCAGUGCAGAGGACCACCACAGCCGAGUAGAUGGGCCAAAGGACCACCACAGCUGCACAGGAGAGCAAGUCUGCUCAGGUGGGACUGAAACAGAGUUAAUGUUAACAUAAACUGGCAAGCCUCCAUUACACCUACUCAGCACCCAUCUUUCUUGCACUAAUCACAACACAUUACAUGACCGCUCGUUUACCUCCGGAGCGCAAGCCCGAGCCUGCCCCGAGCCCGUGUAAGAUGAUAUAAAUUAAGCCCGAACCCGUCGGGUCCCAUCGGGUCCCGUCGGGUUCAGGCAAAGAUCUUGAGCUCUAACCCAGUUGCCAUGCUGCAAUGGGUCUGUUGCCGGAACCGAACAAUGUACCGGACUCCCUGAGCUAGAUGCAUCCAAUGCCGUAUCUAGAGCCCUCACAUUCUUACUGUCCUCAAUUAAAGUUUGGAUGCGUGUCUCUAAUUCUGAAAUCUUUUCUGUCAGCCUAUUUCCCUGCAUUUAUCACAUGUGAAUCCCUCGUCGCCAACGGAGACAGAUAAACUAUACAUGUGGCAAGCGGUCCAAAUAACAAUAGCAGGAGAAGCCAUUACUCACCGUGCUUGAUGAAAGAUUCUUACCACAGUUGUUAGAUGAAUUUGUGGAAAACCGGAGCGAGAGAGUAGCAAGAGAGAGGAGAGGAGAAAGGAAAGAAAACAGCAAUAGGCACAAAUGGAAACGCUAAUGACAAGCUAACGAAUGCUAAUGCGAUGCAGGUGCACUGUACUCUCGGAUUUAGAAUAAAAGCGAACAAUCAAAUUAAUCAGUCUAGAUUGAUAGAUAAUAUCAGAAAUAUGGUGGGAAUUAAGUUAUAUUUUAUCACUUUAAACAACAGAGAGUGAUAGUAAGAAAGAGAUUCUACAGAAAAACGAAGCUACACGGAGCUACGAUCACAAAAGAGCAGCAAAGGAAGCAGGAAUAACACUGUCCAACAGCAGGUAUAGUAGUAGUAGUAUGGCAGUAUGGCAUUUCUAACACAGCACACGUAUAUAUAUCAGGCAUCAUGUAAGGCGACGUACAUUGAGACAACGUAUAUUUCAGGCCUUAUGUCAUAAGGUACUUGUAAGGUGACAGACCUAGUUCAGACGUACUUAGUAUAUAUACCAUUUUUGAUUCAUUUCUUACAUACACUGCUGUCAUGUCGACGCCUAUGAUUGGUUCCAACAGUGAUGUCUCCACAGGUCUGUCGUCUGCCUACAAUCCCAUUCAAAAA